GUUUCGGUAGUACAAGGGAUAGAGCACGGCGCCCCGACAGCACAAGUACGGGUUCGAGUCCCGUCCGAGACU
rnacentral:tRNA from 1 species